AUUGAACGCUGGCGGCAGGCCUAACACAUGCAAGUCGAGCGGAUGAAGGGAGCUUGCUCCUGGAUUCAGCGGCGGACGGGUGAGUAAUGCCUAGGAAUCUGCCUGGUAGUGGGGGAUAACAUCCGGAAACGGGCGCUAAUACCGCAUACGUCCUGAGGGAGAAAGUGGGGGAUCUUCGGACCUCUCGCUAUCAGAUGAGCCUAGGUCGGAUUAGCUAGUUGGUGGGGUAAAGGCCUACCAAGGCGACGAUCCGUAACUGGUCUGAGAGGAUGAUCAGUCACACUGGAACUGAGACACGGUCCAGACUCCUACGGGAGGCAGCAGUGGGGAAUAUUGGACAAUGGGCGAAAGCCUGAUCCAGCCAUGCCGCGUGUGUGAAGAAGGUCUUCGGAUUGUAAAGCACUUUAAGUUGGGAGGAAGGGCAGUAAGUUAAUACCUUGCUGUUUUGACGUUACCAACAGAAUAAGCACCGGCUAACUUCGUG
rnacentral:rRNA from 1 species